rnacentral:lncRNA from 1 species
GAUGACUUGAGUCUAAUGAUUGGCAAUGUUGCAUGAUUACUCAGCAUGUAGAAAUCAAGCACAAACUGCAACAGUGAGAAUUGCCUCUUGCCACCUGGAAAGAAAAAUGUAGCCUCUGCUACAAAGGCCAUACUAAGGUGUCAAAUAUAUGAUGACGGGCCACGCGUGGAAGGCAAAGAUAGAUGCAGGGCCCAUCUAAAGAGGAAGCUGAAGAGUGUUGCAUGGUACAAGUGUGUUGGUCAGUGCAAAGCUCCUCUGCUUCAAGAAAUGUUGCUUGUUCUCAAGGAUGAGACAGACACUUCGAAAGCUGGAUUCCUGUAGUAAUGCCUGAAGAGUCAAGAUAAAACCAAGGAGACACAUACACUAUUGGAUUCUUGUUGACUGCACAGGAACAUUACUUGGCUUUGUGAUUAAAUCAUUCUGGGGAUGGGGAUGCUGUCGCUGAAAAAGCACCUGUUAUAAACUACAUUUGACAGGUAAUAAAAUUGAUAUUAUCAGUUGAAGUCA